GAUCCUGGCUCAGGACGAACGCUGGCGGCGCGCCUAACACAUGCAAGUCGAACGAGCCGAGGAGAGCUUGCUCCCCAGAGCUAGUGGCGGACGGGUGAGUAACACGUGAGCAACCUGCCUUUCAGAGGGGGGAUAACGUUUGGAAACGAACGCUAAUACCGCAUAACAUACCGGGACCGCAUGAUUCUGGUAUCAAAGGGNGA
rnacentral:rRNA from 1 species